UGAAUACGAGAUGCUACGGCGUCGAAGCAGUCUAUGUCAUACUUCCAAGAAAAGCUUGCACUGUCAUAAACAAAUAAUGCCUGUACCAUAACCGACACAGGUGGGUAGGUAGAGUAUACUAAGGGGCGCGAGAUAACUCUCUCUAAGGAACUCGGCAAAAUGACUCCGUAACUUCGGGAGAAGGAGUGCCUUAUUUAUAAGGUUGCAAUAACAAGAUCCAAGCAACUGUUUACCAAAAACACAGGUCUCCGCUAAGUCGUAAGACGAUGUAUGGGGGCUGACGCCUGCCCAGUGCCAGAAGGUUAAAGAAGUUGGUUAGCAUCCGCGAAGCUGAUAACUGAAGCCCUGGUGAACGGCGGCCGUAACUAUAACGGUCCUAAGGUAGCGAAAUUCCUUGUCGGGUAAGUUCCGACCCGCACGAAAGGCGUAAUGAUUUGGAUACUGUCUCGGAGAGGGGCUCGGUGAAAUAGACUUGUCUGUGAAGAUGCGGACUACCUGCACCAGGACAGAAAGACCCUAUGAAGCUUUACUGUAACCUGAAAUUGAAAUUGGACUUUACUUGCGCAGUAUAGGUGGGAGGCGUUGAGAAUAUUCUUGCGGGAUUAUUGGAGCCAUCAGUGAGAUACCACUCUUGUAAUGUUAGAUUUCUAACUUUGUAUCAUUAUCUGGUCAAAGAACAGUUUCAGGCGGGCAGUUUGACUGGGGCGGUCGCCUCCUAAACGGUAACGGAGGCGCACAAAGGUUUCCUCUGAACGGGUAGAAAUCGUAUCUAGAGUGUAAAGGCAUAAGGAAGCUUGACUGUGAGACCUACAAGUCGAGCAGGGACGAAAGUCGGUCUUAGUGAUCUGACGGUGCUGAGUGGAAAGGCCGUCACUCAACGGAUAAAAGUUACUCUAGGAUAACAGGCUGAUCUCCCCCAAGAGUUCACAUCGACGGGGAGGUUUGGCACCUCGAUGUCGGCUCAUCGCAUCCUGGGGCGGUAGUACGUCCCAAGGGUUGGGCUGUUCGCCCAUGAAAGCGGUACGCGAGCUGGGUUCAGAACGUCGUGAGACAGUUCGGUCCAUAUCCGGUGUAGGCGUUAGAAUAUUGAGAGGAGCCUUCUUUAGUACGAGAGGACCGAGAAGGACAUACCUCUGGUGUACCAGUUAUCGUGCCAACGGUAAACGCUGGGUAGCUAUGUGUGGAGUGGAUAACCGCUGAAAGCAUCUAAGUGGGAAGCCCACCUCAAGAUAAGUAUUCUCAUC
rnacentral:rRNA from 1 species